UCUCAACCUCAUCCCUUUAAAAUGAAGUCCUGAAGAAGAAAAAUCUCAGAUGAACCGGGCAUACUGGCAAACUCCUAAAAUCUCAGUCUCGCAAGAGUCUGAGGCUGUAAGAAAAUAAUUCUUUGAUAAAACAGUACAUCUGGUAAUCUGAGCAAUGUAGUUGAGGAUAGCAAUAUGUAAUGUAGCAACCACUGUUGAUUUGUAUUAUUUUGUCUUGAGACUCUGUAUCACUUUGAAUGUUCUUGCUUUGAUUUGUUUAUGUUUGUGAUACUGGUAUGCUGCUACUGUUCUAUUUCUUUCUUUGUUUCUCAUGUACUACUCUUUUUAAAAUAAAAAAAAUUAAAAAAUAAAAGAGUCUGAGGCUGGAGUAGUAUAGGUUUUAGGUCAGCAUGGGGGACUAUGCAAGUUUCUAUCCGAAAAGUACAAAGGCUGGUGGUGUAGUUCGAGGUUCCCUCAGUACCUGGGUACAAUCUCCAUACUAGAAAAGAAUUUCAGUUGAUUGAAGGGUCACUGAAGCCACAGAGGACUUGGCUCCUAUUCCGGUUUGGAAUACUGAGAAGGACACCAUGGUCUGAAACUAAGUCAGUGCAGUACUGCAGGGAGCAGAGAAGUAUGGUCUGGUGGACAGAACUGCUUUGGCGUCCUUGAGUCUCCCUUGGUUCUCUUUAUUUAUGAGAUACCUCGAGUUUCUCUGGUGUUCUAGAUCCAGGAAUCCUGAAGGGAAGUGAGGAUCUGAAGGAAUGCCAUGGUCAGAGUGGGGAUGACCCAUAGGAAAGAAUGUCUGAGAGGAAGACUAAGUCUAAAGCUUAUGGUGAACAGGGAAGACACUCGGGAUAGAUAUGUGAGGCCAACAAGACUGCACAGGUGCGGCCCAGCCAGAGAAAGUAUCACUGAGCUUCAACCAGUUGCAGAAGGAAGCUAACAGCCUAACAAUUCGGAGCAGAAUGGUGUUUUGUGGCGCUCACCUUGUGAGUGAGCAGAACUAGCAGGUAAAUUUCUCUUUUAAUUUUUCCUUCUGAAAGGUACCUGACUGAAUACUGUUAGAAGUAA
rnacentral:lncRNA from 1 species